AUCUAAUCAUCAGCCGGGCCGGAACAUCAUCUUCCUGUUGAUCGCUGACAACCGGAAGACACAUCAGCAAAGAUCGGAUGUCGUAGAAAAUUCUCGAGUGAAAUUGACCUGCGGAGUGAAAACGAGGCCUUUGUCUGCAGCGCCUCACAUUGAAAGGAGGAACCUUUUUGGGGGAGUUUUUCUUCUUUAGAUACCACGAGAUCAGAGAGAACGAGGUUUCCAUGGGUCAUGGUUCUAUCUGAGAGACUGCAGUGGUCCAGCAGGGACGAAGUGAAUGGAGUUGAAUUGAAAUGUUGACGUCACCCACUCAGGGUUAACUGUGUGUUGUGUAUCCAACAGCGAAAGGGUUCAGAGUUCUCUGUUUGAUAUGUUUGCAUUUGUUUUCACGCCAACAGCCCACAGUGUGUUUGUGUGAGGAGGCUUUGGACCGACCUUCACAGUAUGAUGUUUCCUUGACUCACCGGAGUGAAACACUGAAUGGAUGAACCAACAGGAGGGCGACGUGUUUGUUUACUCACUUCCCCCUGAAUCCAUUUAUCAAAAGAA
ensembl:lncRNA